rnacentral:rRNA from 1 species
CAAUGCAAGUCGCACGAUGAAGCCCAGCUUGCUGGGUGGAUUAGUGGCGAACGGGUGAGUAACACGUGAGUAACCUGCCCUUAACUCUGGGAUAAGCCUGGGAAACUGGGUCUAAUACCGGAUAGGAGCGCCCACCGCAUGGUGGGUGUUGGAAAGAUUUAUCGGUUUUGGAUGGACUCGCGGCCUAUCAGCUUGUUGGUGAGGUAAUGGCUCACCAAGGCGACGACGGGUAGCCGGCCUGAGAGGGUGACCGGCCACACUGGGACUGAGACACGGCCCACACUCCUACGGGAGGCAGCUCAGGGGAAUAUUGCACAAUGGGCGCAAGCCUGAUGCAGCGACGCCGCGUGAGGGAUGACGGCCUUCGGGUUGUAAACCUCUUUCAGUAGGGAAGAAGCGAAAGUGACGGUACCUGCAGAAGAAGCACCGGCUAACUACGUGCCAGCAGCCGCGGUAAUACGUAGGGUGCGAGCGUUAUCCGGAAUUAUUGGGCGUAAAGAGCUCGUAGGCGGUUUGUCGCGUCUGUCGUGAAAGUCCGGGGCUUAACCCCGGAUCUGCGGUGGGUACGGGCAGACUAGAGUGCAGUAGGGGAGACUGGAAUUCCUGGUGUAGCGGUGGAAUGCGCAGAUAUCANGAGGAACACCGAUGGCGAAGGCAGGUCUCUGGGCUGUAACUGACGCUGAGGAGCGAAAGCAUGGGGAGCGAACAGGAUUAGAUACCCUGGUAGUCCAUGCCGUAAACGUUGGGCACUAGGUGUGGGGACCAUAUCCACGGUUUCCGCGCCGCAGCUAACGCGAUAAGUGCCCCGCCUGGGGAGUACGGCCGCAAGGCUAAAACUCAAAGGAAUUGACGGGGGCCCGCACAAGCGGCGGAGCAUGCGGAUUAAUUCGAUGCAACGCGAAGAACCUUACCAAGGCUUGACAUGUUCUCGAUCGCCGUAGAGAUACGGUUUCCCCUUUGGGGCGGGUUCACAGGUGGUGCAUGGUUUACGUCAGCUCGUGUCGUGAGAUGUUGGGUUAAGUCCCGCAACGAGCGCAACCCUCGUUCCAUGUUGCCAGCACGUAAUGGUGGGGACUCAUGGGAGACUGCCGGGGUCAACUCGGAGGAAGGUGAGGACGACGUCAAAUCAUCAUGCCCCUUAUGUCUUGGGCUUCACGCAUGCUACAAUGGCCGGUACAAUGGGUUGCGAUACUGUGAGGUGGAGCUAAUCCCAAAAAGCCGGUCUCAGUUCGGAUUGGGGUGUGCAACUCGACCCCAUGAAGUCGGAGUCGCUAGUAUCGCAGAUCAGCAAC